rnacentral:rRNA from 1 species
UGCAAGUCGAGCGGAGUGAUAAAGCGGAAGUUUUCGGGUGGAAGCUUUAUGACUUAGCGGCGGACGGGUGAGUAACGCGUGGAUAACCUGCCUUACACAGGGGGAUAACAGUUAGAAAUGGCUGCUAAUACCGCAUAAGCGCACAGUGCCGCAUGGUACGGUGUGAAAAACUCUGGUGGUGUAAGAUGGAUCCGCGUCUGAUUAGCUAGUUGGUGAGGUAACGGCCCACCAAGGCGACGAUCAGUAGCCGGCCUGAGAGGGUGAUCGGCCACAUUGGGACUGAGACACGGCCCAAACUCCUACGGGAGGCAGCAGUGGGGAAUAUUGCACAAUGGGCGAAAGCCUGAUGCAGCGACGCCGCGUGAGUGAAGAAGUAUUUCGGUAUGUAAAGCUCUAUCAGCAAGGAAGAAAAUGACGGUACUUGACUAAGAAGCCCCGGCUAACUACGUGCCAGCAGCCGCGGUAAUACGUAGGGGGCAAGCGUUAUCCGGAUUUACUGGGUGUAAAGGGAGCGUAGACGGCAUAGCAAGUCUGGAGUGAAAACCCAGGGCUCAACCCUGGGACUGCUUUGGAAACUGUUAAGCUAGAGUGCAGGAGAGGUAAGUGGAAUUCCUAGUGUAGCGGUGAAAUGCGUAGAUAUUAGGAGGAACACCAGUGGCGAAGGCGGCUUACUGGACUGUAACUGACGUUGAGGCUCGAAAGCGUGGGGAGC